rnacentral:tRNA from 1 species
GCUUCCUUAGCUCAAUUGGCAGAGCAGCUGACUCUUAAUCAGCGGGUUCAAGGUUCGAGUCCUUGAGGAGGCA